rnacentral:rRNA from 1 species
GACGAACGCUGGCGGCGUGCUUAACACAUGCAAGUCGAACGGUGAAGCGCCUUCCUUUUUGGUGGGUGUGGAUGAGUGGCGAACGGGUGAGUAACACGUGAGUAACCUGCCCCCUUCUUCUGGAUAACCGCAUGAAAGUGUGGCUAAUACGGGAUAUUCUGGGUCUGUCGCAUGAUGGGUCUGGGAAAGAUUUUGUUUCGGUGGGGGAUGGGCCCGCGGCCUAUCAGCUUGUUGGUGGGGUGAUGGCCUACCAAGGCGGUGACGGGUAGCCGGCCUGAGAGGGUGGACGGGCACACGGGAGCUGAGACACGGCCCAGACGCGUACGGGAGGCAGCAGUGGGGAAUAUGGCACAAUGGGCGCAAGCCUGAUGCAGCGACGCCGCGGGAGUGAUGGAGGCCUUCGGGUUGUGAACCUCUUUCGCCAGUGAAGCAGGCCUGCCUCGUUUGUGGGUGGGUUGACGGUAGCUGGAUAAGAAGCGCCGGCUAACUACGUG